GCCACAUUGUAAGUGAGAGUUCCGAGAGAGGGAGUAGGAGUGAGUCCAGAUGCGUCCUCCCCAGGCUGAGCUGGGUGUGUUUGCGAUGAGUGAGCGGAAGCCCUUUGAUUUACUGUCUGAUUUUGACUGCACUCCAGCCGUGACGUCAUUCCCACUACUCCUGCAGAGCCAAGCACACAGGCGCACCGAACACUCCCUAAAGCAGUAAUGUCUCAAUAUUCUGCUUGCCUGGCUGCUUUGCUAGAACAGAGAUCCACUGUACAUGCUCAGUGGCCUGGAGAGAACAGAAGAAGUAGUGUAUGAGUCAUGGAGCGCAGGCUGAAGACACAACUAGAUGAGUCUAAGAAUGGGAUUUAAACAUCUAAAGACUGUAUGUGUGUGUGUGAAGUGUUUCAGAAAAUGACUCAUCAUGAAAAGGAAGGCUGUGGUCUGAGAUCCUUCCCUGAAGCAUCCCUCCCAGGCCUGGAUGAGGGGAGUGCACCCUGCCCUGUGCUGAUUGAGAUACUGUUCACUAUGGACCACAGCCAGGCUUUACAGAUGGCCCAUGUUUAAUUUGCCUGAUGGCUUGGAGCAGCACAGAUGUUUUUUUUACCUCUGUGGUGAGGAGACGUGUCAGAGCAACAUGGCCGUGUCAAAUGAUCAAAAUGUGAAUGUGCUCUGUGACAUUGUUGCCUUGAGUGGUAUUCACCAUGACUUGCCUCUAAGCAGUGGUAAAGAAGACCCAGCAUGCACUCAUGAUAUCACACUAGAAAGCUGGCAACAGACAGACAGCAUCAUAUGACCUCCAGUUUGAGAGUUCUCCUCUAUGUCAGCUGGUGGUAUGUUUUUGACUGCAGUGGCUUCCUCACUUAUUUUGUACCAGAAACAUAGCUAACAAACACGAUGUCUUUGGAAGCUUAAAAUGAGAGGCUUUAAUAUACUUAAUCAACACAUACAGAAUAAAUAUAUAUGCACAUACAUGUACAUUAUCCAAGACAUUCAUUUGUUAACUAAGACACUAAGCUUUCACAUUUCCAAUGAAUGCUCUGUCUCUUUUUUGGAAUUACUAAAACUGAAGCAAAGCUUGGAUGGACAAAAAUUCUUCUGGAAUCUUAUGCUGUUCCUUUCUUCCAAUGCUGAAAACAAUACUGAUAUGUAAUAUAUUGUAGUGGAAUUUGUAAGUGACUUGCCAACCAAGACACUGGCGUUUAAAUUCAAAACAUCUGUUUUGGGGUAUUAGUUAGUUCCAGAGAGCGAGAGAGAGCUCUGCGUGUAUAUGAUACUAUUCCAUUCAUAACAAAUCAAAGGGCCUGUGGGGUACUGCUCUAACUGAGAAGGACACUGUAAAGGGCACUCACUAUGCCUGACACUACUAAAGUGGUGCAAAGGCUAACUGCUCAGGGACUUCUGCACUCCAUACCACUGAACAGAUACUGAACAUGCCUCUGCUUUGUGUUGUUUUAGUAUUAGUUUAGUAGUAGUGUGCACUCCACAGAAGAAACACUAAACCUAAAUGUGAAGAAAUUAAGUGGUCUCUUCAUAUUUGAUUUUUAACCAGGUUCACCAAGCCAGUUUACCAACAAUGGAGUGAAAAUGAGUUGUACUCAAUUGUGAUUAAUUGUAAUCAACAUCAAUACAGUCGUAACUCAUAAACUAUAAUUUUUCUAAAAAGUUUUCACUGUUUUCUAUAAUAUUUUGUUUAAAAUAUUUUGAUUUAAUGAGGCCUUUUAUGAAUCUAUUUUAUUUGCACCACAAUGAGAAGAAUCUAUACAGGGUUUUUUUUUUUUUUCUUCAUAAACUUAAAUAUAAACAGGGACUAAAAACAGAUCAGGGAACGAAAAUUAAAAUAGAAAACGAAUGAUUUUUUUUGCAGAACAUAACCGAAAAGGGAACAAAGUGAUUUUCAAUUGUUCCGGAGUGAAAACUUUAUUUUGAAAUGCUGGUAACUGGUUAUAACCGGUUAAUUUUUUUUCCGAUAGUUUUUCAUGAAACCGAAAGCCAAAGGGUUUAUCACAGUAAAUUUCUGGAACUACACCACUUCAUGUUGCCCAAAAAAAUUAAACAUAUGCUUUGAUCCUGAAGGAAACUACUGCAUAACACAUUUCAUAGCCUAAUUGCCCAUUGUGGAUGAAGCCUUCUGUGAAUGAAAACCUUUUAACAACUAUGUAUAACUACUACAUACUGAAUAAAUGCAUGGUUCAUCCAGAUAUAAGAAAAACAUUAUUAGAGGUAAA